GCGGGUGUAGUUCAGUGGUAGAACAGAAGCCUUCCAAGCUUCAUACGGGAGUUCGAUUCUCCUCACCCGCUCCA
rnacentral:tRNA from 1 species